ensembl:lncRNA
AGAUGAGAGAAUCACGUGACAGUGUGUGGGCGUGGCAGUGUGUGUUCUCUCCCAGAGACUGGAUCAUCAAGCCAGGACCAGCAGAUUUAAAGCUUCAUGAAUCUCAGUAACUUCACAUCAUUCACACGCAAACUGAAAUUAGAACUCGGAUGAACACGCUGUCGAACUUUCAGAAGCAUAAACGCUUUAUUUUUAUAAAACUUCACAUCGCAAAAUAUGCCUUUAAAUCUUUUACACAAAAUACAAAAUUUACAAAUAAAAUUCAUAUAAACUUUUUCAACAUGCUGUACAGUGAAUAAAAAUAAAACACUAAUGACCUACAAAAGGUACAAGAAAAAAAAAGAUGAAAGACUGAAAUAUUUGGAGGAAAAACACAGCACUACAUCUGGAGAAGAAAGGGCACGGCAUAUCAUCAUGAAACAUGAAAACACCGGAGCAAGCCCACAACAGAAUGGCUUCAGAAAAACAAAAUCUGCCUUUGGAGGGGCGGAGUCAGAGCCCAGACCUCAACCCAAUAGAGAUGCUAUGGAAUGACGUGAAGAGAGCCGUACACACGAGACGUCCAAAGAACAUGACCGAGGUAAAGCAGUUCUGCAGGAAGAACGGGAUAAAACUCCUCCUGAACGAUGUGCAGGUCUGAUCCACGUGCAGGUCUGAUCCACAGCUACAGGAAGCGCCUGGUUGAGGUUAUUGCUGCCAAGCGGGGGGUCAACCAGUUAUUAAUUCUAAGGGUUCACUUACUUUUUCCACUGCCAUGUUGAAUGUUGAAUGAGCGUGUUCAAUAAAGACAUGAGGAUCAGAAUUUUGUGUGUUAUUAUUUUAGGCACAUUAUAUUUGUCAAUACCCCUGACUUAGAUGAAGAUCAGAUCACAUUUUAUGACCAAUUUAUGCAGAAAACCAUGAAAUUCCACAGGGUUCACAUACUUUUUCUUGCCACGGCAGAUGGAUUUUCUUACUGAAAACUUUAAUAGUUUAAAGUGAAUUCUAUUCUGCACGGGCUGGCAGUGGAUGGAGUGUAACAUGAGUAAUGCCGUCAAUAGUUUUAUACGACGUGGCUCAUCUACACUCUGAUUAAUGAUCUUAUCAUACACUCUGGACCUGGCCUAAGGGUUAUUUAAAUUCGACUCCUCAUUCUCACGGAGCUGCUGAUUUUCUCUCCUCAGACGCACAUACAUCACAGAUACAACCACAAGCACAGAUACAAGCAGCAGUACCAUCAGUAUCAGUACAAUCCCCCACACUGGUACUCCUUCCUGCUGCUUGAUGUCUGGACACGGCUCUCUCAUAUGGACCGUUACGAUGGCUAAAGUCUCGUCAUUCACUAUAUCCUGUACUGUGUAGUUCCCACUGUCAGAGACGUCUCCAUCUUUAAUCUGAAGAGUGUUGAGGAGAGACGCUCUCUCUUUAUAAUCUGGACUGCACUGGAUCUUCUCCUUGUCCACGCUGCAGAUCUGCAGGUUUGAUGGUUGUACAGCAUCACUGGAAGUAAAACUCACAUCCACCAGGUCAGUGAGGGGUAAGAGCACGUCUAUGGGUUCACCUGGGGCAAUCACACGGGUCAUCUCUAGAGCU